rnacentral:rRNA from 1 species
AUGCUGGAGGUAUCAGAAGUGCGAAUGCUGACAUAAGUAACGAUAAAGCGGGUGAAAAGCCCGCUCGCCGGAAGACCAAGGGUUCCUGUCCAACGUUAAUCGGGGCAGGGUGAGUCGACCCCUAAGGCGAGGCCGAAAGGCGUAGUCGAUGGGAAACAGGUUAAUAUUCCUGUACUUGGUGUUACUGCGAAGGGGGGACGGAGAAGGCUAUGUUGGCCGGGCGACGGUUGUCCCGGUUUAAGCGUGUAGGCUGGUUUUCCAGGCAAAUCCGGAAAAUCAAGGCUGAGGCGUGAUGACGAGGCACUACGGUGCUGAAGCAACAAAUGCCCUGCUUCCAGGAAAAGCCUCUAAGCAUCAGGUAACAUCAAAUCGUACCCCAAACCGACACAGGUGGUCAGGUAGAGAAUACCAAGGCGCUUGAGAGAACUCGGGUGAAGGAACUAGGCAAAAUGGUGCCGUAACUUCGGGAGAAGGCACGCUGAUAUGUAGGUGAAGCGACUUGCUCGUGGAGCUGAAAUCAGUCGAAGAUACCAGCUGGCUGCAACUGUUUAUUAAAAACACAGCACUGUGCAAACACGAAAGUGGACGUAUACGGUGUGACGCCUGCCCGGUGCCGGAAGGUUAAUUGAUGGGGUCAGCGCAAGCGAAGCUCUUGAUCGAAGCCCCGGUAAACGGCGGCCGUAACUAUAACGGUCCUAAGGUAGCGAAAUUCCUUGUCGGGUAAGUUCCGACCUGCACGAAUGGCGUAAUGAUGGCCAGGCUGUCUCCACCCGAGACUCAGUGAAAUUGAACUCGCUGUGAAGAUGCAGUGUACCCGCGGCAAGACGGAAAGACCCCGUGAACCUUUACUAUAGCUUGACACUGAACAUUGAGCCUUGAUGUGUAGGAUAGGUGGGAGGCUUAGAAGUGUGGACGCCAGUCUGCAUGGAGCCGACCUUGAAAUACCACCCUUUAAUGUUUGAUGUUCUAACGUUGACCCGUAAUCCGGGUUGCGGACAGUGUCUGGUGGGUAGUUUGACUGGGGCGGUCUCCUCCUAAAGAGUAACGGAGGAGCACGAAGGUUGGCUAAUCCUGGUCGGACAUCAGGAGGUUAGUGCAAUGGCAUAAGCCAGCUUGACUGCGAGCGUGACGGCGCGAGCAGGUGCGAAAGCAGGUCAUAGUGAUCCGGUGGUUCUGAAUGGAAGGGCCAUCGCUCAACGGAUAAAAGGUACUCCGGGGAUAACAGGCUGAUACCGCCCAAGAGUUCAUAUCGACGGCGGUGUUUGGCACCUCGAUGUCGGCUCAUCACAUCCUGGGGCUGAAGUAGGUCCCAAGGGUAUGGCUGUUCGCCAUUUAAAGUGGUACGCGAGCUGGGUUUAGAACGUCGUGAGACAGUUCGGUCCCUAUCUGCCGUGGGCGCUGGAGAACUGAGGGGGGCUGCUCCUAGUACGAGAGGACCGGAGUGGACGCAUCACUGGUGUUCGGGUUGUCAUGCCAAUGGCACUGCCCGGUAGCUAAAUGCGGAAGAGAUAAGUGCUGAAAGCAUCUAAGCACGAAACUUGCCCCGAGAUGAGUUCUCCCUGACUCCUUGAGAGUCCUGAAGGAACGUUGAAGACGACGACGUUGAUAGGCCGGGUGUGUAAGCGCAGCGAUGCGUUGAGCUAACCGGUACUAAUGAACCGUGAGGCUUAACCUU